rnacentral:lncRNA from 1 species
GGAAAAAAGGAAAGAAAGAAUUUUCUAAUUUUUCUUUUUAAGAAAAAUAGAUAGAAUGCUAUCUGUUUCGUUUAUUUAGUUUAAAAAUAAAUGUAGUUAAAAAUGUGAAGCAAAUAGGUUUCGAACUUGAAAUCUCAAAUAUUAAUCACCAAAUUUUUUACCACAUGUGCUAGGGACGAUCAAUAUGAUUGUAGGAUUGUUAAUCUAAAAUUUAG